rnacentral:rRNA from 1 species
GAACCUUACCUACUCUUGACAUCCACGGAAUUUAGCAGAGAUGCUUUAGUGCCUUCGGGAACCGUGAGACAGGUGCUGCAUGGCUGUCGUCAGCUCGUGUUGUGAAAUGUUGGGUUAAGUCCCGCAACGAGCGCAACCCUUAUCCUUUGUUGCCAGCGGUCCGGCCGGGAACUCAAAGGAGACUGCCAGUGAUAAACUGGAGGAAGGUGGGGAUGACGUCAAGUCAUCAUGGCCCUUACGAGUAGGGCUACACACGUGCUACAAUGGCGUAUACAAAGAGAAGCGACCUCGCGAGAGCAAGCGGACCUCAUAAAGCCUCUUAGUCCGGAUUGGAGUCUGCAACUCGACUCCAUGAAGUCGGAAUCGCUAGUAAUCGU